rnacentral:lncRNA from 1 species
AUUGAAGUAAAAGAUUUUGAUAAACUUUAAGAUUAUCUAAACUAUGUGAUAAGGAUAAGAAAAAAAUUAAACUUACUGAGAACCUAGUUGGAUUAGUUCGUUAAUGUACGAAGCAGAAGAAAAAACCUUGGAAGCAUGUAAUCAUUGUCCUAAGUCAAAUUUCCGACUUUUGUAUUGGUAUUUAUCGAGAAUUCUACCUUAAGAUACGACUGAAAUACCCUUCUUUAGAGCAC